rnacentral:rRNA from 1 species
CACGUAGGGUGCGAGCGUUGUCCGGAAUUAUUGGGCGUAAAGAGCUCGUAGGCGGUGUGUCGCGUCGGCCGUGAAAACCUGCAGCUUAACUGUGGCGUGCGGUCGAUACGGGCAUCACUGGAGUUCGGCAGGGGAGACUGGAAUUCCUGGUGUAGCGGUGAAAUGCGUAGAUAUCAGGAGGAACACCGGUGGCGAAGGCGGCUUCUGGACAGAUACCGACGCUGAGGCACGAAAGCUAGGGAGCAAACAGG